rnacentral:rRNA from 1 species
UACGGAGGGAGCUAGCGCUGUUCGGAUGUACUGGGCGUAAAGCGCACGUAGGCGGCGCAGCAAGUCAGGGGUGAAAUCCCGGAGCUCAACUCCGGAACUGCCCUUGAAACUGCAGUGCUAGAAUCUUGGAGAGGCGAGUGGAAUUCCGAGUGUAGAGGUGAAAUUCGUAGAUAUUCGGAAGAACACCAGUGGCGAAGGCGACUCGCUGGACAAGUAUUGACGCUGAGGUGCGAAAGCGUGGGGAGCAAACAGG